UUUUUAGCUAGGAUUAUGAAAACACGAUUUUUAUCAAGUUUUUAUUUAAUUUACCUGUGCACUCUAUUGUGGGACCUCGUGUCAUCAUGAAUAAUACAUUUUAUUGUGUAAUGAAAUUGAUUAAGGAAUAACGCAAGAUUGCAGUGUAGCCAAUCAGAAUAACGUAUUAUAAUGAAACAUACAUCUAAUGUUAUUAUAACAUUGUAAAUGUCCUCCUAAUGAUACACCUAAUAGUUGCCACUGAACAUUAAACAGCUAACUAUAAAUUCAUCCGUCA
rnacentral:lncRNA from 1 species